AGACAGCAGGUGACUCCGUGCCGGAUCCGUUUUCAAACCGGCAAAUCCGCAUUACAGUCACCUCCGUUUCACUGCUCUAAAACGGAUCCAGCCCGGUCCCGGUUUCCGUGGGCGGGAACAACAGUCGCAACGCAGAUUCGGCCCGUAUCCGUGGAAACGAGCGCGCGAAUUUUUUUUUUUUUCUGGAGUUUAGAAGAGGAGGCAGACACAGACGGUGCUCGGUCGGUAUCCUACUUCAAAAACAUCACCAAAGAGUUGUAAGGAAUAACCAGUCCUCUACCAGUGCAGCAGAUUCUUGCCUUUGACUGUGGCGGUGGCCAGAAGGAACGUGCCAAAGCCAAAGAGGCCUUAACUGAGAUGCCUCAUGGGAAUUAAACGGCACAUAUGAAGUGGUUUGUAAUACCAUGGUUUUCCGACUGUCCUGAUUGGUUCUUGAUGUGUUUAUGGUUCAUUAUAUGAAAUUAUUAUUUGUAUGCUUUUUUCCCAAUUUCUUCUAUUUUCUUCUUUAAAUAUACAUUAAGAAAAGUUGUGAGAUUGUUUAACUAUUUGUGUAUCAAUGUUUAAAGGAUAGUUCACCAGAAAAUGAAAAUUUGCUGUUAAUUUACUCACCCUCAAGCCAUCCAUGAUGUAGGUGACAUUUUUAGCUGAAACCAUGGUCCUUGGUGAAUGCAAGUCAAUGGCUACAGUCACUUUGAGAGUCAUAAAAACAUAUUACAGGCAAAACAAAGUUAAUACCUGUGACUGAUGCUGACAUUACAUUGAGGUCUUAUGAAGCGAAACAGACCAAUGUUUUCGCUUCAUUAGACCUCAAUGAAUCAUCUGGAGCCACACGUAUUCAUUUUGUUUUGCCUGAAUAUGUUUUUUUGACUCUCAAAGGGACUAGCCAUUGACUUUUAUAUUAUACUUUUAUAUUAUACAAAUCACCAAGGACCACAUUUUCAGCUAAAAAUCUUCUUUACUGAUAGUAAAUUAACGGCAAAUUUUCAUUUUUGGGUGAAUGAUCCCUUUAAGCUUAUUGAAUAUGAUGUAACUAGAGACUUAGGAUUAGUUCACUUUCAAAUGAAAAUUACCCCAAGCUUUACUCACCCUCAAGCUUAAUACUUUAAUAUAUCUCCGAUUGUGUUCAUCAAAAAGUCACAUACACCUAGAAUGGCUUGAGGGUGAGUAAAGCUUGGGGUAAUUUUCAUUGAAAGUGAACUAAUCCUUUAAAGGGAUAUUUCACCCAAAAAUGAAAAUUCUGUCAUUAAUUACUCAUCUAAUUUUGUUCCAAAAUCGUAAUACUUUUUCAUCUUUGGAACUCAAAUGAAGAUCUUUUUGAUGAAAUCUGAAAGAUUUCUGUCUCUGUUGACAGCUACACAACUACCUCUUCUACACUUCUAUGAACUUCAGCUACAAAGUUCAUAAAGAGAUCGCCAAACUAAUCCAUAUAAAUUGAGUGGUUUAAUCCAAAUUGUCUUGAAUUUGGAUUAAACGAUCACUUUAUAUGAUGAACAAAUCUCUUGCUGAUGCUCAAGCGUGCUGUGUAACACAAGAAUGAACCUUAUAGCUUCCCUUUACCACAACUGACGUGUGAGUUGAUAAAUGCUUAUAUGUGAAUAAAAUCCUUCAUCAAAUAAAGCGCUUGUGUCUCUUCAGAAAAUUUUGGACUAAAGUGCUCGAUUUAUAUGGAUUAGUUUUACAAUC